rnacentral:rRNA from 1 species
UAUUGGACAAUGGGCGCAAGCCUGAUCCAGCAAUGCCGCGUGGGUGAAGAAGGCCUUCGGGUUGUAAAGCCCUUUUGUACGGGAAGAAAUCAUCCGGGUUAAUACCCUGGGUGGAUGACGGUACCGGAAGAAUAAGCACCGGCUAACUUCGUGCCAGCAGCCGCGGUAAUACGAAGGGUGCAAGCGUUACUCGGAAUUACUGGGCGUAAAGCGUGCGUAGGUGGUUCGUUAAGUCUGAUGUGAAAGCCCUGGGCUCAACCUGGGAAUUGCAUUGGAUACUGGCGGGCUAGAGUGCGGUAGAGGAUGGCGGAAUUCCUGGUGUAGCAGUGAAAUGCGUAGAGAUCGGGAGGAACAUCCGUGGCGAAGGCGGCCAUCUGGACCAGCACUGACACUGAGGCACGAAAGCGUGGGGAGCAAACAG